rnacentral:rRNA from 1 species
GACGAACGCUGGCGGCGUGCUUAACACAUGCAAGUCGAACGGAAAGGCCCCUUUGGGGGUACUCGAGUGGCGAACGGGUGAGUAACACGUGAGUAACCUGCCCUUGACUUCGGGAUAACUUCAGGAAACUGGGGCUAAUACCGGAUAGGAAUCCUUGCUGCAUGGUGGGGGUUGGAAAGCUUCGGCGGUUUUGGAUGGACUCGCGGGUUAUCAGCUUGUUGGUGGGGUAGUGGCUUACCAAGGCUUUGACGGGUAGCCGGCCUGAGAGGGCGACCGGCCACAUUGGGACUGAGAUACGGCCCAGACUCCUACGGGAGGCAGCAGUGGGGAAUAUUGCACAAUGGGCGGAAGCCUGAUGCAGCAACGCCGCGUGCGGGAUGACGGCCUUCGGGUUGUAAACCGCUUUCAGCAGGGGCGAAGCUUGUGGUGACGGUACCUGCAGAAGAAGCACCGGCUAACUACGUG